CCUUUUUUUUGGCUAGAUCUGGGGAAGGAGGCGAGGCCGGUGAAGCAGCGUCCGAGCUUCACCGAAGUAUUUGUUUUGUUUCAAGAUUCGUUUCAUCUACUUUUCAUGAACAAAAACCGGUGGAUUUUACACUUGACGCAUGUGUAGCCGUGCUGAUCUCCUCUUUCCAAGCCCAUCUUCAUGGCAGCAAUUAGAAUCAUGGGCAGCGUGGAGUUCCAGGACGAGUGAGCUACACGAGUGCGUCCAUCAGAUUGGAACGGGUUAGUCUGAGAGCUGUUGCUGCUUCGAGCAGGGGCGGCAGGGGGAGAGGGCGAUUUGCAGCACCAGCUAUUCAGGCCUGUCGGCGGGGUGGCAUCUCAGGUAGCUGCAGCGGCAGCAACAUCAUCAAACGGUGGGCUGCUGUGAGAUUGGCUCAUUUAGUGCAAGUCUGGAAAGCAGGCGGUCUUCUUUCCAAGCAGGGUCAGAGGAGUGCUUAUUUAGGGUCAAAGGAGAGAUAUUAUGAUUCAUGAAUCUUGGUAUUUCCAGCAAAAUUUACAUACUUAUUAGUUAUUUUAGUUAAGGGCUACGGUAAAGUAGGAUGAGUCAUUUUCAUCUCCCUUUCAUGGAUUAUUAUCAACUACUAUUAGCAGACGGAAAUGCAACAUCAUUAAGCAUACAUGACAUGUUAGGCAAAUAAGAUAAACUGUGUAGUUUUUUUGACUGAACUAUGAAUAUGUGUGAUGACUUAAUAUUUUCUCUAUAGUAGUUAUGGGUAUCUCAAUGAGAAAAGACUCUUUAUGGUAUCUCAUUGAGAGAAUACUCUUUAUUUGAGUCUCGGUUAACCUAUUGUGCGAUUGGUUUACUUUCUCAUCAAAUGCGAACCACGUAUAGUUAGUACUUAUGCAGCAACUCUUUAGACGAGUUAUCAAUAAUAUUUUCUAUUUAAAAAAUCUAAUUGGGUUGCACAUUUCCUGUACCAAGAUUUAAGCUUCAUUGUUGAUCACUCUUUUGAUUGCUUCACUUUUUUUCUUCUACGGGUCCUACAUCCCUUUGUACUUUUGGUGCCAUAUGUUUGGAGCUGAAUGUUACCAUUUCAUGGUACCUCGCUAACUUUGUUCAAGUUAUGCUACUGACAAUAUGCAUUAUCCUUUAGCUGUUCUCUUUUGCCUAAAAUAUAUGCUAAGUUGUAAAUUUACUCCACUCACUCUAUCUAUGAUAUGCGUCUAUUGUUUUAGUUCCCUGAUGAUCCCACAUGAUGUAUCAAAUAGAAGACACGAAGGCUUACAAAAGUCCCAACUCUCCGGCUGAAGGAACUGAACAACAAUCAAAUUUUCGUAGCCACAACAAGAACACAGCGCAUGGCACUUCGUGGCGAUGUGAUCGUAGUUUCGCUGCUACUGCUUGCCUCUCUUUAGGAUAUCGUGAGGAGUGGUCUCUGCCCCUUUGUGAGGCUGCAGCCACGUGACGUGUAGUUCUCAGUUUCGAUAUAUAUUGGUAGAAUGCUUACUGUUGGCGUGUAGUUCUCAGUUUUUUGGACUUCACAGAUUGUUUACUGGUUCUCUGUGGUACAUCUGUUUAUCCCCAUUGAUAAAUUCCAUUCUUGAAAAGUUGAGACAUUUUCAUGUUUGAAUAUGCAAUGUAAUUGGCUCUUGGUUUGUUUCGAUGCUUGUUUGUACAUUGAUUUAACGGAUUUUUCUUGAUCCUUUUAUUGACUAUAGAUGACAGAGCUCCUGCUAUUAUUAUUGAAAAAUAACUCAGGAAAGGGAAACUUAAUUAAUUAGAUGUAUGUGCAUUGCAUGAUGUUAUGUAAUGGUGUUAAAGGAAUCUCUGCAAUAGGUUCAGAUCAAGCCAAGCAUCUGCUCUUAUUUCUUUUGUUCCCCUUCAGUUCAGAUUUUAGAAUCAUCCCUCCACAUGUUUCCUCAUUAGCUGAUUUCUACAAUAUUUAUUUUGCAGUUUCGGCAUAUUAAUCAUUUUUAUACACAUAGAAAUCUUCAGGGUGUUUUUAUUUAUAAUUUACAUUCCCUCAUCAGUUAAGAUAUAAUUUAUAGGUAAUUUUUGCUAUGAAUUUGUUGUCCUCUGAUGGAUUCCAGUCACACUAAUGAGCUGUCCAACCAUGCCAGAAGGGCAAAAGUGACAAAGUUCAAGGAAACAUUGUGAUAUUCUGCCAUAGGCCACCAGAUGAAGAAGAGUUGUAUCUUGAAAAACCACUUCGCCGUCACCCGACAGGAUUGUGCUACUCCAACACUACUACUUGGAUGCUAAGGUGAUUUUCUUGCAGCAACCCAUCGUGCGUUAAAAUUCGCUUAUCUGAGCUAUGGCAAGAUAUGUAGAUUAACUCGACUUGGAGUGCCAUGGCCGAUGGAACGACUAGAGCAAAGCACAUGAAGAUGCAGGUCAUUGGUGCGUGUUACUCCACUGGUGAGCAUCAAAGAAAAUCAUGAAGUUUUUUCGUAGCUGCUUCCAUUGACCAGAAGCAUCUACGGAUCCGUGAACAUGCCCUCCUUUCUUUCAAUCAUGAUGUAAAAUAUGUGAUCGGUUAUUGAAAUAAGGUAAGUUAUGAUAAAUGCAUAUAUGUACACGUUCCGCUGCUCAGUAUAUAUAGUGAAGUCCCAUUGGCGUAUGUAUUAUUACUUAUUGUGCUUCUCUAUCUAAAUAGGGCUGUUUAUUUUUCAGAAUUAUCCCUUUUUCCUUUUUUCAAUGGUUUAUAUACUUUCCCUUAGAAAGUUGGUUCUAUGUUUUUCCUCGUGCAGACAUGAUUUUUUCUACGAACGAAAGCACAUUACGACUUCAGCAAAUUUCUUACCGUAAUUACUUUGAAUUUUUUUAUGAAAAGAGUUCAUGGAAUAGUUUAAUGAUAUGAUCCCUUGGCAUGAACUAAUCAAGAGUAUUAGCUAGAACAAUGACCUGAAAAAUAGAAGGACCUGGGUUGCUAAUCAAUCGGUUAUGACAUAGACCUGACAGUUUACAUUAGAUGAUUCAUCCUCUGAUGGCUUUGGCUACAUCUCCAGAACGCAUGUUGCUGGUGCAUCUGUUACAAGGUGUGAGGCAAGUAAUUUAUGUGAAGGUUCCAACACAUUCUGCAGUUUGAGGGGCCACCUGUGCAUUGCAUCGGAUGUAGUGCGGGUGUUGUCUUCCUUCACAGAAUGAGUAUCUAACUCCAAUUUAUUAAAUUGGUAACAGGGGCAUUCUUCAUAUACAUAGGUCAAUAAACAAUAGUUCAGGCUAUUGUUGCAUUGUUUGAUUCAGAUAAAUUCAGUAGAGAGUACUUACGGAAGUAGUAUCAGGUAUUGCUGCAUUGUCAUGUAUUGCUUUAUUUGUCCUUCUAUAAUGGCCUUCAUUUGUACAUUUUUUUAUUGCUUCCUUGGAAGAAUGAGCUGAAUACCUUCACUAUACACACCGGUUGGUAGAUUCUAGCAAUGGUUUUUUUCUUCAUCUUCCCUCUUUUGAUAUUGUUGCCGCUCCUUCCUUGGGUAAUUUUUCCAUCUGCAUAUGUUAUCGAAUUAGGUUACCCCUGCCAUGUCCACGCCUCCUUUAGCGGCCUAGGAAAUUAACUGAUGUUUCGAUGGAUGGCUCAUAUUCAAAGUGCCAAAUACAUUCCUCCAAUUUCACAUAUGUGAAUAUUUUUGUUUCGGUCAAUCACAUAUGAAGUUAAGUGUGACCAGGUCAGGUCACUCCAUGUUUGUGUCGACCCAAAAAAUUGCCGGAACCUGCCAGACUAUUGGUAGAAAGUUGUAUUCUUCUUUUUUAAACAAUGCUGAGAAUUGUUUUAGGCAACCUCGGCCAAUAGGAAAUACAUAUUAUUGUCCUAAAGCUGAUCAUAUUUAGAACUUUAGGCUUCAGAUAGAUGUUUAGGAAGCACCACAUUAAUUCAUGAACUCAGACUGAUAAUGAGUGUAUUCAGUCUGCGACAACCGUGUUUUUGUUGCCAAGUCCUAUAACUCCAUUUUAUUUGUGCUUAAAGUUUCUUUAGAAGAAAA